rnacentral:rRNA from 1 species
UGAACGCUGGCGGCAUGCCUUACACAUGCAAGUCGAACGGCAGCACGGGUGCUUGCACCUGGUGGCGAGCGGCGAACGGGUGAGUAAUACAUCGGAAUGUACCUUGUAGUGGGGAUAGCUCGGCGAAAGCCGGAUUAAUACCGCAUACGCUCUGAGGAGGAAAGCGGGGGACCUUCGGGCCUCGCGCUACAAGAGCAGCCGAUGUCAGAUUAGCUUGUUGGUGAGGUAAAAGCUCACCAAGGCGACGAUCUGUAGCUGGUCUGAGAGGACGACCAGCCACACUGGGACUGAGACACGGCCCAGACUCCUACGGGAGGCAGCAGUGGGGAAUUUUGGACAAUGGGCGAAAGCCUGAUCCAGCAAUGCCGCGUGUGUGAAGAAGGCCUUCGGGCUGUAAAGCACUUUGUCCGGUAAGAAAUCCUUUGGGUUAACUACCUCGGGGGGUAUGACGGUACCGGAACGAAUAAGCACCGGCUAACUACGUGCCAG